rnacentral:lncRNA from 1 species
UUUGAAUAUUAUUAUAGAUAGAGAUAAACUGUAAACAGCAAUAAUGUUCAGCAAAGUAAGAUUUACAAAUAGGUCAACAUGACCGAAAUGGUCAAUUGACCCCCUAAGGAGUUAUUGUCCUUUUCUAGUCAAUUAUUAACAAUUUUCAUAAAAUUUGUAAAUUUUUAUUAACAUUUUCCCCUGAAACUACUGGGCCAAGUUCAUUAUAGAUAAAGAUAAUUGUAAGCAGCAAGA